GCCUUCGUGGUCAGCACACUGAGCCGGUAUUUCAGAGGUCCGUGGUUCGAUCCCCGGCGAAGGCA
rfam:Stegodyphus mimosarum contig5749, whole genome shotgun sequence.